rnacentral:lncRNA from 1 species
CGCAAUCCCCUGCACAUUUUCAGAUAGACGCAUGAUUAUGAACACGACACUGAACAUUGCACAUUGCAGGGCAACCUUUCGGAGUUGCAUUUUGCCGGCGUAAGUCUUUUCAUAGUUUCAGUUUUUAUUUUGCCUUUUCUCCCUUCCCCUAGCAUAAGCCGGUCCGGCUAAUUGCGUUGUGUAACAAAAACUCUUUUUCUUCUAAUAUAUUGAUGCAGGGCAACCACACUGACUGACUGAACAUUGAACAGUGCAGUGCAGUCUGCAGCUUUGCAGCCACACGCAAUGCAACGCACCUGUCGGCCGCUUGGACGGCGAGCCUCCCGACG